rnacentral:lncRNA from 1 species
UUUUUUUUUUUUUUUUUGGGUAUAACCCAUGCAUUUUAUCUGUUUCUAAAUCCAGGAGUGGAUUGCUUAAGUUGGAAUUUGGGUUCUUUGUCCAAGAUUGACUGGACCAACUAAAACUUUUGUACUUUAGGAGUCCAUUAGGUUUGUAAAUAGCCAAUCAAGUUGGGCCAUAUCUGUUAAAAGUGGCCGUGCAAAAUUAACUUGGGCUACAUCCAUAUCCACAUGAAGCUUAUUACUUCAAAAUUCAAAUUGUGAAUGGUCCAAAUCCAAAUUGUUUUAAACCUAUCAAGCUCUGCAAUUGAAAGUGCAACCCAUAGUGACAUGGCAUAUUAAAUAGAGGUGUUAACCACAAUCUAAUUGUUUUGAUUCGUUCAAAUUCGCCCACAAUAAGUGGAUUUGAAUAUACAAUGAACUUUGAAUGAAUUUAAAUUAGUACCCAAUUAUACCUAUUAAUUAUUGGUUGGUAGUGAAUUAAUUCGUCUCAUCUAUUUAUAUCAAAUUAAAAAAAAUUAUAUAUUUAAAUUCUAUUUUAAGUGGGUGUUAAACAGAUCAAUUUAAACUCUAUAAAAGUUUCUCAAAAUGUAUCCAUUUUUACUGAAACUAGAAAGUCAAUAAAUUUAAGAACUAAUGACCUAAGAUUGUAGUCGAAUGGCCACUUCAAUCCCUCCCUGGGUAUAGGUGGAGGAUUUGAAACCCUCUGCCAUCUUGACACUUUCUACUGUGAGAAUGGGUGCAGUUAUACUUGUCCAAUUUGAUGGUAAUUUAGUUUUCGCUGGCUUUUUUAUAGUCUGGUUAAACCUAUCUCCUUCCCUAUAAUUUAGGAGUAGGUAUAGAUUGUUUUCAUUUGAUCCAAAAAAAAAUAAAGAAGAUGGAAGAGAGUAAUAAUGGCACCCAAUGCUUUUGAUGAUAUUCUCCAAUGACAAAUAAGAAGAUCCACCUUCUUGCAACGCUAACCUACGUUUCUCACUGACAACUAUUUCCUCACUUCACUUUCACCAUCCAUGAGUUUUUUUUUUUCGAAACGAUAAGUGAUUUUAUAGAUAAUCAAACCAUUUACAAUUUCAAGUAAAGACUUGAGAGAACUUACAAUUAGUGCAAACUAUCACCGAGGAAUCCAAAAUUCCUGAUCUUCAAUAAAGUCUAGCGCAAAAGCGCUAAUCCUAUGAUUAAUAUGGUUAAGAUUCCUAUUAACUAAACAAAAUGAGCACAUGCGAAACAAAGACUUUAGGCUGGUAUAUCCUCCAGCAAUGUAGGCAGUCGCAUAUCCUGAGAUUUCCUCUGCUAAAUGAGAUUGAGCAUUUGCUUAUUCUGAAUCUAAACUUCAAUCUUUUCCAAGUUCUGCAAUGCAGCUUUACUCAUCAGAAGUUUGAUAGCUGUUAGUUCAUCCAUUAGCUUGUGACUAAAGCUUCUUUCCUAUGAAGUCCAUUCUCUCAUCAGGUUUUGGUUGUCCGUAGAGACAGUGACACCAAUCUCAAGUUGAGGAUUGUCUUUAUUCUUUUCUGUAGCAAACCUUAUUCUCAGUAUGCCUUCUAUCUCUUCUUGUUGCUGAGUGGAUCCUAUCUGAUCUCCUAUUUCUUCUGUGCUUAUCCUUGAAGUUUUUAUCAAAGCUUCAUCAUAUUCCAGCCAUUCCUCCUGAGCUCUCUACAUUGUUCUCAGUGGGGGAUGCUGCUUUCCAUUGAAUUCCUUCUCGUUUCUACUUUUUCAGAUUUGCCAAAGAAUGUUAGCAGUUAAAAAGAUGUGUUUGUUACCCUCUCUUCUUGAACUAGCCUCCAUCACAGUAGUCCACCACCUGCUGAAACAACCUUGUUGAUUUAGAAUUCCCUCCCAUUGGAUAGGCGUCAUUUUCCCCACUAGUUUAACUUGAUUGCAGUUGAGCAAUGCAUGUUCUAUUGUCUCACUAUUCUCCUCACACACUAUGCAUGUUGGAUCACCUUGUUUGGUCUUGUCAUGGAUGAGUUAUCUUACUGGUAAUGCCUGGUUCAAGUAUUUCCAUAAGAAAAUCUUCAUUUUGUGCUUGACAUUCAGUUUCCAUAGGUGCUUCCAACUUCUUUGACUUUGCUUGCUCUAGCUUGUACCAGUUAUCUCCCUAUACUCCUGCUCGUGUUCCUUCUGUCCUUCAAUUUGUACCCUAUAAGCUGAGCUAACUAAGUAAUUUUCAUAUGUGCUAUAAAUCCAGAGUUUGUUGUCCUCUUUGUUUACUAAGCUUAUGGGGAUGCUUAGUAUUCUUUCUACCUCUAUGGAGCUGAAGUUUCUGAAGAUUAGAUGCUUAUUCCAUCUUUUCUGGAUUAUCAGAUCUUCUACCUUUACUAGGUUACAUUAUUGUGGCUUCUAUGUGGUUACCUUUCCUUGGUGUUUAUUUGGAAUCUAGCUAUUCUCCCAUAUGUAGGUGCUCUUUCCCAUUGCCAAUCCUUCUUCUAGGCCCUUCCUAUAUCAGCUGCCUUGCCCCCAUCAGUCUUUUCCAUAUCCAGGAUGCAUUCCCAGCUACUUUGCACUUGAGAAGCGAUUCCUUUGGAUGAUAUCUAGCCUUUAACACUCUGCUAACCAGCAGGUUUGGUUGUGUGAGUAAUCUCCACACCUGCUUUCCCAGUAGAGCUAUGUUGAAUGCCUCCAAAUCCUUGAAUCCCAAUUCUCCAGCUUUCCUGUUCAAUGACAUUUUACUCCAAGAUCUCCAGUGUAUUUUGUUCUUCCCAUUUGCCUUACCCCACCAAUAGUUUGCCAUUAUGGAAUUAAUCUCUUUACAUAGUUUUUUAGGCAACUUGAUGCAUGACAUCGUGUAUGUUGGCAUUGCCAAUGCCACAGAUUUGAGCAUCACCUCCUUGCCUGCAGCACUUAACAGUUUAUUUUUCCACUUCUUUAGCCUCUGCUGGAUACUGUUUUUAAUGUACCCAAAAAGCUGCUAUUCGGAUCUUGUGACCACUAUUGGGAGACCCAAAUAUGUGCCUUGAUUGACCAUUUGGAUAUUUCCUAGUGCUUGACUGAUUUCCACCUUGGCCUCUUGCUCCAAAUUGUUGCUGAAGAUAACUGAAGAUUUUUCUAAGUUGAUCAGCUGGCCAGUUCAUCUUUCGUACACUUUUGAGCUAUUUAUUGACUUCUGUGGACUGGCAUACUUGCUGGGGUUACUUUCAUUGCUAUAGUCAUUGAGCUCAUAAAAGUUUGUUCGCCUUCUGUGGGGCAUUGGGCAUUUUUACUUGCUGGAACUCUUUUGUUUGUUAUUGAUUGGGUUACUACUGGAAGUUUUGCUUUGUUAUUGUUGAGUUUCUGUACUUGUCUGCUUUUGCUGGUUUCUAUACUUGUUGGAUCUUCCGUUGCUUUGAGCUGACUGUUGGGAGACAUGGUGAGACCAAAAUCAUCCUCUAGGUCUAGGGUCUCUCGUUCUCAACCUCCUCCACAAGCAUCUAUUCUUGUGAAUACACCUACCAAUCUACCCUUCUUUUCUAAUGUCCGAACCCGCUUGGGUAGGGGUAGGGGUGCUCAGGUAGAUACCCCAACUCACUUUGGAGGGCACCUGACCUUCACUAGACCCGCCGAUCAGCAGAGAUAUGCUAAGGUCUGUGAGCGGCGUAUUAUACCUUGCAAAACUUGGGACAAAUUAACCGUGAUGGGCUUAGGCAUAUGAGAGGAGGUCAAACAGAUGUUUACAGCCAUCGGGUGGCGCCCGUAUCUCGAUAUCUUCUGCCCCGCCUUUGUCGAGCUGACUCGGGAGUUUUAUUCUACCUUUGAGUUUGAGUUACCCACGAGGUUCACCGUUGAGAUGCCCAAUGUCAUCCGCUUCCGUCUAAUGGGUCGGGAAUUUAAUUUUUCAAUUACCCAAUUUAAUCUGACAUUUGGGUUCAUUACUCGAGAGUUUGCUGAGACUAGGGAGUAUGGUGAGAGUGCCUGUGAUUACAUAGAGCCUUUUCUCUCCCGCUACCGCACUGUGUGGGAAGACAUGUCUACCGAUCGGCACCGCUACGACCCUUCUAGGUCUAGGAGUUCCUUUCUUAAGGACCCUAACGCCCGAUACGUCCAACGAUUCUUAGCCUACAGCUACUCUGGUCGGAAGGACAGCUCCGGCAUUCUCUCCCGACCCGAGUUUUUUUUCAUCUGGAGUAUGAAGAAUAACAUCAAGGUCAACUUGGGCUGUUGGUUGGCGGCACAGUUCAAGACCGUCUUAGCAAAAAAAAAACAAGCCCCUGAUCCUUGGAUCUUAUAUCACCCACUUGGCAAAACAGUUGAGGGUUUUUAACAUGGAGGACCACGACCUACAUUUGGCGUGCGAGAUAGAACUCUUGGACGUAGAUUGCUUGGAGAAGAUGGGAGUCGUCGAGCGCCUGCCCGAUGGUUCCUACUAGUUUACCCCUCUGGGACCAGUUCGAGCUCCAAGGGCGCACCCUUCGACCCGAGCAGGGCCCUCCUCCUUUCUUGGGUCAGCCGAGGACACUGUUGGGCCAUCUUUUUCUGCGCCACCUCCAUCGCAUGGGACUACUGAAUGGCAGCAACUUCGGGAGCAAGUUCAAGCUUUGGAAGCUCGAAUGGUCAACGUCGAUGCCAAUGUCGCCGGCAUAGCACAGAAUUUGGCGCAGUUUCUGCUUCAUACGGGUUUCGCUCCUCCGUUUCCACCUCGCCUACCAUUUUGACCCGGCUUCAUGGAAGUUUGGUUGCUUUCUCCCUCACUUUUACUGUUUAUUUGACACGUUGAGGACAAUGUGUCCUAUAGGUGUGGGGGGGUCUAUAGUCUUUUUAGUUUUUAGUAGUUGUUAGUUUUUAGUUUUUAGUAGUUUUUAGUUUUAUUUCUAGUUGCUUAUUUUCUUUCUUUCUUCUUCGUGCUUAUCUCCCAUGUGAAAAAAAAUGAUAUUGGUUUAUUGACUCUAAUUCUACUCUUGCCAAGUUUUUAAAUAAAAAAAAAUAAUUGUAUCGGGUUAAUGUGGUUGGGUCCAAGAUAUCUCCUUGGUGAAUAUCGGACUGCUUGACUCUUUUGAUUUCUUUGUUAACUUUUCUAGGCAUAGGGAAUGACUGUUGGCAUUUUAAUGUGAACAUGUCCAAUAUUGAUUUCAGUUCUCCAUGUUUGGCAAUAAUGAGGCGAGCUACUCCUAUGUUUGGUUGUUAGUGCUGUUAUUUUGCGUUUCUGCGUUGUUUGGCUGUGAAUGAGCUUGACUGUACUCCGCUAUUAGCUACUACCAAGUAACCGGGAAUCUGCACCUAAAAGUGUCGAUUUUCGCGUCAAAAUGUGGUGCUUUCUAUGAGUACGUGGUCGUAUACGGUAGGAGUUGAGUAACUGGACUCUUUCAUCUAAAAAUAUUGGAGUUCGCGUCCAAAAGGCUCCGGCGGCUAGAGACUAAGUCUUUCUUGUGUUAAAUAUUGUUAUUGUAAAAAAUAAAAAAAAACAGGAAAAGAAAAAAGAGAGAAUAAAUAAUAGGAAAGCUUGCCGGUUUAUGGACUUAAUAUGGAGACUUGUGUGAAUAUUUGGACCAUUAGCUGAUAAAUGUUGUGUGCCAUUCAUUUUUCUUAGAGUAGUUAAUUUGGAAAUUGAAGGAAUUUGUGGUUUAGAGGCUAACUGGGGGGAUGCUUCUUGGAUUUUAAUCACUAGAGCUCGAUAUAUGGUUCUUUUGGAUAUCUUGGCAAAUUGAUAGGUAGAGCAAUGAUCAUUAUCAAAUUUUGGUGUCUGCGCACUUCCUUUAUGCUUGAGGGCAAGUAUGGUUUAGGUGUGGGGGGAAUUGAUAGGCUGUAAUUUUCUCAUUUAUUUUAUAAUUAAUUUUCCCUAUUACCUGACUUGAUUUGGAUUAAUUGCUGGAUUCUACUCAUUUUUAGUAUUUUGCAUGUAUUUCAGGGAGUAGAACGAAAAUAUAAUAACAGGUGCUAAUUUGACAGAAAAGGAGACCAGAUGAUAGAGUUUGUCCCAGUGACAUUUUUGGAAAAAAGAUGUCACGUCCAUUUCGGUAAUUUGUAGAAAAUGAAGGAUGGACGAAGGGCUGGGCUGACGGGAGCCGCCGCAAGUAGCAUGACUUCAUAUAGGAAAAUGGCGCAGAAGAAAAGGGGGGCUUCAGCAUAGCAUUAGAUUUUUUUUCCUUUUAGACUUUUGAUAGGAAUUCCUUUUGGCUUCUCUUACGCAUGGUAGAGGAGCACUAGCUUAGCUUUUUGAAUUGUUGACUUUUCCUUGGUUCCUAGGUAGUGGAAUUCUCCUGCGGAUGGCAGGAGCAAUUAAGAAGACAGUGACUCAUACUCUGCAACUUUGCUUUGCUUUAUUCCUUUGACUGAAUUGAAUUUGUGCAUUUCCCAAUUGAUGGCCGCGGCUUCCUCUUCAAUUUUAUACGGGCUUUGUCCAUCGAACAUGAACUAAUUUCACCAAGCUAGUCAAGGAGCAACGAAAGCUCUGGUUCGUCUAAAAAUUGUGAGAUCGUUUUAAAUUAAUUUUUUCCUUUUAUUUAUUGGUAUCCGCAUAUUUCUUGAUUGCUAUGCCUAUGGUUAUUCAAUUAAUUGAUUGUCUUGGAUUCGGAUAGUUAAUUAAUUUGGUAACCUAUUGUCAAUUAGGGUUUUAAAUCCGUAAUUGUUUAAUUGUCCUGAAAUAGUGACAACUGACACGAUUAGAUUCGUGUCAGGGGGAUACGCGGGCUAAUCUGAAAUAACCCUGGUAGUGCGUUAUUCGGUUAGAAUAGGGCUCCUCUAAUAUGUAAGGCAAUUGGGGAAUUAAACCUUACGGGCGUACCUAGGAUUAUUUCCUAAUUAGAGCAGUGAUUAACGGGCGUACCUUAAUCACCGAUACAGUAAGGAGGGGCUGACUGCCAUCGCUUGUUUGGUAGUUAUAACCUAUUUAUCGAUAAAUAAUUGGAUUUGCCUUCGCUUCGAUGAUCAAUUAGGUGACCCAUUGCUGAAGUUAUUCCUUGGCUAGAUCUUUAAUUAAUAUUAUCUUGAUUUUAGUGAAUUGCCAGUUGACUUUUAGUUGCCUACUUUAUUUUACUUUUAAUUGUUACCUUGUUUUAAUUGAUUUGGGCAUUUGAUUAUUGUUACUUUAAGUUCAGUGAAUUGUGGUUUAAUUUCUAGUUAAUUAUUUAUUUUUAUUUCCUUAUUUGAAUUUAUUGGAUUGUCGUCGUUCCUACAAAAACACCCCUUGUGUUACUUUGGAUUUCUUAAGAAACAAAUAUACCCAAUUCCUGUGGAUACGACCCUACUUGCCCUGUCUACAAAUUCAUAAAUUAACCAUUCUAUUCGGGUAUAUCGGAUCAAGUAAACUCUUCGGGAACAGGGUGAAUCAAGUAACCCAUUGCACACCUAGAGUCCCUGCUCCAGUACUUGGAAUUGGGUUUUGGUAAUUUUUACUGGCAAUUAGGUUUAAUUUUAUUAUUGUACAGGUUUCGACACCCUGUCAUGGGAAUUUGCUUUACAAAAUAUCAAAGAAUCAUCUGCAAAAAAUAAGUGGGUUAGUCUAGGCCCCUGGCUACUAAUUUUCAUGCCUACAACUUUUUGUUCAGUUGCUGCUUUUUGGAGAAGGUUGGAGAAGCCCUCUGAGCAUAAGAGGAAUAGAUAGGGUGACAGUGGAUCACCCUGCCUAAUUCCCCUCUGUGGUAUCACGUAUUCCUUGACCUCUCCAUUUACUAUGAAUGAGUAAGAAGCUGUUGAUAUGCAUUCCAUGAUCCAGUUCCUCCAUUUGUCAUUGAAUCCCAUUUUCUGCAUCACAGCUUUCAGGAACCUCCACUCCACCCUAUCGUAAGCUUUUGACAUGUCUUAUUUCACAACCAUAAAUUCAUCUUUCCCUAGCCUUUUGUUUUUGAGAUAGUGUAAAAACUCAUGGAAAAUCAUGAUAUUGUCUAGAAUUUGCCUCCCAAGAAUAAAGAUUGACUGAUUUUUACUGAUGCAGAAAUGAAGAACUAGUUUCAACCUAUUAGCUAGGAUCUUUGAGAUUAUUUUAUACACUGUCGUACACAAGCUAAUGGGUCUGUAGUGCUUAAGGGAUGUGGCAGUCAUGACUUUGGGGAUGAGAGAAAUGAUUGUAUGGUUUACUGAUUUGAUGAGAUCACCUGUGUGGAAAAAGGUUUGAAUAGCACCUACCAUAUCCUUUUUAACUAUAUGCCAAAACUUCUGGAAGAAGAUGGGAGGCAUUCCAUCUACACCUGGGGCUUUAUCAGGAUUCAUGGAGAAAAGAGUAGAUUUGAUUUUCUCUUCAUCUACAGGUUUAGUUAGUAUACUACCUGAGAUCGUGUGUGGUAUACCAUUCAGCACUUCCUCUAUAUCACUUGCCUUUGAUGUUUUGAAGAGUUCCCUAUAGUAACUAGCAAUCUUAGGACUGAGCUCCUCUUCAUUUUUAGUCCAUGUACCAUCCUCUCGCAGUAUGUCCAUCAUUCUGUUCCUUCUUCUUUUCCCUUCCAUACUAGCAUGGAAGAAUCUGGUGUUCUUGUCUCCUUCUUUUAGCCACCGCAUCCUUGCUUUUUGGCACUAGUAAAUCUCUUCUUCUCUGUAGGCCUCAUUUAGUCUAUUCUCCAGGCAGUUCCUCUUAUCCCUCUUACCCUUAAUGUCACUCAGUUUUAGCUCCUGCGGUUAUUUCUUAAGUCUUUCAAUAUUCUCUUUAGAAUUGCCUUGUAUCUUAAUCUUCCACUUCAAUAGUGUUACCCUACACCUUUUAACUUUCUUUAUGACUUUUGAACAUCCUUGUGCCCUCAUCUCUUUGCUUCCAAGCCUGUUUAACAAUGUCAUUGAUUUCUUCUCUUUGGAGAAAUCUCUUAUCAAAAUAGAACAUUUUCUUCCUUCUGAUUUGACUUGGCUUGGUAUAAAAAAUCAGCAUGCUAUGAUCUGAUGCAAAAGAAUCCUGAUGUUUACAAGUGACCUUUUCAAAGGUUUGAAUCCAAGGGUAGCUACACAAUCCUCUGUCCAAUUUUUGUUUUAUUUCCCCAACUCCCUUCUAGUUAUUGCACCAGGUCCAGGGAUGCCCCUCAAAGCCAAUAUCCAUCAGCUAAUUAUCAUUGAUAAAGUCCUUAAAUGCCUUGAGACUUCCUUCCUCCCUCCAGUUGCCACCCUAUUUUUCUUCAUUCAACACAAUGUCAUUGAAGUCACAUGCCAGUAAUCAUCUGUCCCCCCCACAGAACUUUCCUAGCCUGAAUAACACUCCAUUGCUGUUUCCUGAUUUGGUACUCAUUACUGGCAUAGACUCCUAUAAACCACCAAUUAUAUCUACUUUCAUUAUCCUCAAUCUGAGCUUCAAUUGUAAAGGUAGUCUUAAACACUUGUUUUAUCCUAUCCUCCUCUUUCCAUAGUAAUGCCAUCCCUCCUGCCUUGUUCAUGGCAUCCACAAUAUUUGCUUCAUCAAAUUUCAGGAUAUUUUUCACCUUUUUCAGGUACCUAUUUCUAUUUUUGGUUUCACACAAGAACACUAUAUUUGGAGAGGAGAGGUUGUUCACCUCUCUCAACUAGGGAAUUGUCAAGGGGCUCCCCACUCAUUGACAAUUCCACACCAGGACUCUCAUUUAACCAUUGGGUCCAUAAAGGGUUGGACCCCUCUCCCUCCUCCACAGAAUUUGAUGAGUUACCCACCACAUCCACCUUGUUCCUCUUCCCGUCCUGCAAAUUGUCCUCAUCUAUAUCCAUAUCAAGUUCCUCCAGCAUCCCUUUCCUUUUACCACACUUCCUUUGCCUAACAGUAUUAGUGUUCAUUUCCUUCAGUGGUUGCCUGUGUUUCUUUGGGGACCUCAGAACUCUUAGGAUUCUUCUGGACUGUUUAACCAGAGCCUCUAUAACCUUUGGCCCUCCUACAGUUUCCAUAUUCAUGGGUUCCAAUGCUGGUGUGCCCUCUUCCUUACCUUCAGAUCAUGGCUUUUGGACUAUCAAGUUACCUUGUUCCUCCUCCAUCAUCAGAAAUUCAAAACCUAUUUCUGUUGUGCCUUUUUCUCCUGAUUGCAUUAGUCCCUCGUUUGUGCUUAGUCCAUUGUGAUUUGUAUCCACACCUCUUAGUUUCCCAACAUCCUGCAUUAUACCUAAAUUAGAGCCUACGUUCCUAACAAAAUCAUUAUGCUUAUCUGAGUGUAGACUCAUGUCCUCUCUAAUGCCACUUCCUCGGGCUUCCUGGUCACUACCUCCUCUUAUCAACAUCCUAAUCUCAGUCUCAGUCUUUUUGGUUUUUGCAUCUCCUUUAUAUAUUUGAGCUUCCAAUGCUUUCUUCUGAUCUUCUGAUCUCCUUUGCUCCUUCCAUUCCCCAUCCUGGAGUCUCCAGUGGUGUUUUUGAGGGUUAAACAUCAUACCAGCUUGUUUUUUUCGCGGGGAACUCCUCACAUUUCCUACUUUCAGCCAAGGACCAAAUCGAUUAUCCUUUUUCCCCAACCCCUUGUUGCCUUACUUCUUACAAGUCCUUUCUUUAUGCCCUAUGAUACCAUAGUUAUAGCAAAAAUUUGGGCAUCUCUCAUACUUAAAGCUGGCCUAUUUGGUUAGUUCACCAACCUUGAUGAUUAUUCCUUUCAGCGGUGGUUGGGAGAUAUCUGCCACCACUAGAAGUUUCAGAUGUCUUCCUUCUUUACCCCCAGUCUGAGGAACAAUCACCUCUCUUACCAUGUGAAAGUUUGAGCCUAUCUUUUUUCCAGCUUCCUUAGACAUCCAAUGUACCGACAAGUUCCAUACCUGUACUCGUAAGGGUGCUAACCUGAAAGCUUAUCAUCCUCCUCUAUACCUUCAUACCACUUACUUAGCACUAGCACUUGGUUGUCUACUAUCCAAGGUCCUUCAUUCAAAACCCUCUAUCUAUCACUCUCUGACGGUAAAAUGAAUUGGAACAAGUUAGGUCCUAGCUCCCAGUGUAAUUUGACACUUUUUCUCCCAUUACCUUACCAAUCAAGCUAUUUUUGCACUCUUUAACCCCUCCAACUGUUUCCUCAUUCACCAUCCAUGAGUCCCUUACCCCUUUUUCAACUUGCUCAGCUCUUGCUAUCUGUUGAUUCUUAUUUUCUUCAAAAUAAUCCAAGCAAAUUUCCACUGCAAUUCCCAACUCUUUCGCCACCUGAAAAGCAUUCAUCUGUUGCUCCGCGUGCAACGGCCAUGUAGCCAUUGGCACGCCACUCCAUAUAUUCUCCAACAUUAAAUUCCAACCACAAUGCGACACAAAACCGCCCACAGCCGGGUGCGACAAAACCGUCCACAGCCCGGUACUGUCACUUUCGUUUUUGAAAUCUUUGAUAUUUAAAUAAUUUGUGGAUGUCAAUUGGCAACAAUAAUAAUUGUUUUUCCUGUAAAUGAUUAAGGUUCGUUUGUUACAAACCUGAUGCAAUACAGAAAAUAUGCACCAAAAUUUUGUUAGACGAAUAUUUGCCACAGCUAUUUGUCAACAUUUUCAAUCCACAUUUGUAUUUUUGUAGGAGAUGGCAGUAAUUAAGUGUGGUUAAUACUCGAAAGUUCAACAUAUCAUAGAACUUGAAGAGAAAUGAGUAUUUAGAAAUAGACGGACACUGGCAGUUACAUUGGAUGUAGUUAAAUUUUGUUGUUAUACUUCUUAUAAUGUUUAACUGGCAUAAAUUACUGUAUUUCUCGUGACUUCUGAACUAGUAGAAUAUUUUUCUCGAAAUUCUGCGAAAAGACAACCAAGUCCCGCAAAAUUAUGAUGAAAGAAUCCUCAAUAUCGAUGUUUUACAAUUUACACCUGUGAACUUCGUUUUUUUUUUUUUUUCAAAAACAUUUUUGUAUUUAUAUCUUGGCAGCCACCUUUUGAACUUCUUUACAAAUAUUUUUCCAAGUCGAUCCAAUGCCAAAUCAAGUAGUACUACUAAUGCUCAGGUUUUCAAAUGCAUUACUUGUGUAUUUUUUUUUAUUUAAUUAAUGUUUUCGUAAUCUGCUAGAGUGAUCAAGCUCAGAAGAACCACAUGCCAUUGGAGAAGACAACGGAAGCUGGCUGGAGGAAGAUUUGGUGCUAUCUGAGUGAAGUGUGGGUUGAAAAGAUUAAAUCAAGAUACACUCUCAACAGCUCUCUAGCCACUCUACUGCAAGAUAUAUGCAGCCUACAAAUCUCAUUCUACUGAAUUCUUAGUAAUUGCCAGAAAUUGGAAAGAAAUGUUGCAUUAAUUAGUGAGAUUAGUUCAACAAGAUAAGGGCUGUUUUUUCACUGUUUUAUUCAACUGCAACAUAUUCAAAAGUCUGUGGGGGCAGAAUGUAUCAAUGAUUCUUAACAAGAUUAGCUUAACAAGAGUAGGACAGUACCUUGUUCUCAAGAGCUCAAGGUUUUCGAGACUCACGUAACAGAUAAAAGGCUUUUUUUUUUCUUUUCAACUGUUUCAUUCAACUGCAACAUAUUCGAAAGACUGUGGAGCAGAAUGUAUCAAUGAUUCCACAUUUACACCAAUUAAGCAGAAGACCUUGAACAAAUGUCUUGAAUAAGAUUCCCCAAAGCGAAAUAAGAUGAUCCACCUUCCUUUGUAGCUAGUCUGCUUUUCUCGCUGAAUUCUUUAACCCUUAUCCUUACUUCAAUCUCAACAUCCAUGAUUUCCCUUAUGCCUUUCUCAACCUGCUCGGCUGUCACCAGAGCUUGAUUUUCCUUUUGUUGAUUGUAGUCCAAACUAAUUUCCACAGCAAUUCCUAACUCUCUGACCAAUUGGAACGCAUUCAGCUGUUGCUCAGCUUGUACGGGCCAGGUGGCAAUAGGCACCCCACAAAAGAUGCUCUCCAACGUUGAAUUCCAGCCGCAGUGUGACACGAAUGCCCCAACAGCCGAAUGUGACAGCACGGCCAGUUGUGGAACCCAACCCACUACUUUUCCGAUCGAAGCCGUUCGAUCCAAGAACCCUUCGGGCAGCGCAAGUUCAAGAUUCUCAUAAUCCCUAGGAAAUCCCCCUUCGUUUGCAGGGGGCUGCCUGAGAACCCAUAGGAACCGAUGACCACUUCUCUCAAUGCCAUAAGCUAUUUCUUGAACUUGGUCCGGAUGGAAACUUGCCAAGCUGCCAAAACAGAGAAAAACUACCGAGGUUUUAGGCUGACAAUCCAGCCAUUUCAUCAUUGCUGAAUAAUCUUCACUAGAUUGAGUGUGGAUUUGGGACCUAUUUAGAAUAGGCCCGACAGGAAAGACUGGUGGCAAGCUUGUUUUACCAUAAUAAGAAUCUAAUGAAAAAGAACUCAUAGCAUUAGAUUCAAGAUCACUGAAAGUGUUCACUAUGAUUCCUUUAGCCCUUCUGUAGUCACGGGUCCAUUUCAAAACGAAGGUCGACCAAUGUUCCUUCUGGGUUGCUAUAGCUGGGAGGACGCCGAUUGGAACUGGUUCUGCAAAACUAGGGAGAAUUAGAUGGCUUACCCCUUCAACCAGAUCAGAUAUGCCCCGGUUUUGCUCGUCUUCAAGGGUUUGGAAAUGAAGCAUCAGACCAAGAAAAGCCGCACCAGAGGUGAAGAAUAAGUAGGUAGGAACUCCAAGCUCGUCAGCAACGUCAAUCAUGGUCGUGCUAACCAAGUCAAUCAAAAGCCCAGAUAAUUUUUUAGUUUUUGAGGCUAUUUCUCUCACAUGAGGUUUCUGAUAUUCUAGGAGCUUGAAAGUGAAGCCCAUUCUAUGUGUGAUAUUCCAAUCAGAGGUGUCUUCUGGUGCUGGAAGGUGGUGGAAGUGGAGGCCUUCAACAUUUGUGGCAGCGAUGAGGGACUGAAUCCUGGCUGUGCCAUGGGGAUCAAUUGGCAGCUCCAUGAUCAGGGCUGUGAUUGAUAAUUGAUUGUUUCUUGCAAGCAUCAGCUUGGCCAGCUCAAGGGCCUGUGUCAAGUGCCCCAUUCGAGGUGAAACCAUCAUCAGGAGCUUAAAUUUCUCCAUUUGAUACAGGAGAAGAAGGUUAAGAGGGGAUGGAAUUGUAGUUCUGGUGCAAGAAGGAUGCCCUUUGAGGUUAGUAAGUUCAGAGAUUUUGCAUAGUAUUUGAGAGAUUUUGCAGAUCUACGGCGGUCCCAUCUCUUGCAGAAGCGUGUGCUUGUAUUUGUCUGGAGUAAGGUGAUUCGCUGGCACUUGGGGAUCCAGACGACCAAACGUAACUUCAUUGACUUCAAUGCUUCUUCAUUGAACUGACUGAGCUCUGGGGUCCUAUCAGGGGCAAUGUUUUAAAAAUCGGACCGUUAAUCGAACCGGUGAAGUGAAAGGGUCGAGGUUCAAUCGGUCGGACCGAUUCAAUCUCGGUUCAAUAAAUUUUUUAAAAAAUAAUUUAUAUAAAUAUAUAUGUGCACAAAAUAAGACAUGUAAUGGAUAAUUUAAUACUUUAUAUGAUGAAAAGUUUACUAUUUUUGAAUAACUUGGAUUUUUAAAAAUAAAUUUUUUAAAUUAUAAGUUAAAACAAAUAAAUUUCAUCUCAAUUUCAAUUAUAUCUACCAAAAAAAUCUUAAAUAUAAUCCAAAAAUAUCACAAUAUUUGAAAUUAUACAAAAUUCACGUCUAUGAGAAUUUAGACAUUGUGAACUUAAAUUUUAAUUUACAUUUUGGAAUUUAAAUUUACAAUUUAAAAAAGGAAGUUUGGAGUUCGAAGAAAAUCAAGAGAAUUGAAAAUAGAAAUGCAAAUUUGAUAAGAAACAAAAAAUGAGAUAAAAGUGAGUGGUUGUGGUAUUAAAUAAAUUGCGUUAAAGAAAAAUAAUUCUUUUUUAACUUUUUUAAAUUUAAUGGACAAAAACAAAAUUAAAAUAUGGAAGAAAACAUCAAUAAAUUAAAAAUAAAGAGGUUUGAUUAAAAAUGAGUGGCAAAAGAAAAGAUGAUAGAGAGAGAGAGUGUGUGUGUGUGUGUGUGUAUUGAAGAUUAAAAAGAAAGAGUCAUGAAAGGAUGAUAUUUUGUAAAAAAAAAUGGAACAAAAGAAAUAUGAGUGUUUGUUUUAUAUAAAUAAGUUAUCAAAAAAAACUAAUAAGAUGUGAUAGUGCAAUGGUUACUACAUUGGUCUUCUAUUACAAAGGUUUUGAGUUCGAAUCUUGGUAACUACAUUUUGCCAAAAAAAAAAAAGGAAAACUCAAAAACCGGAAAUAAUCGGUUCAAAUCCGGUACAGCGGUUUCGCGGUCCGACCGGUUUUUGACCGGUUUCUUGACACAAUCAAACCUGGCAUUGAACCGGACCGGAGCCAUGGCCGGUUCGCGGUUCAACCGGUCGAACCGGCCGGUCCGGUCCGGUUUUCAAAACACUGAUCAGGGGGCGAAUUUGUGGGUUGGUGUUGUUUUGGGGUUGUUUAAAAUUGAAAAUUGUCCAAAAAUUGGUGUUGUUUGUUGGUGAAUAAGGACCCGGAAUGGUUGUCAGUGUCGCCUUUCUAAAGUUUGUGUGCAUUUUGCACAUAAUAUAAUAUUAUUUAUAUAUUGUGUAAUACUAGAAUAACAAUGAGUAACAUUGGAAUAACAUUUUAUGGGUCUCACACGUAUUAAAAUUUGAACCUUAUAAAUUUUGUUGGCCAAAUUUUGACCAUUAACUGUUAGGGACGAUAACCAUCCCUGCCCGUCCUCAGGUGAAUCAGGGGUCACUGCAUCUGCGACAUGAGGUUACUAAUAAAAAUUCUUUUAAUUUUCAUAUAUUUUGGAGCCGCUUUAGGAAUAGGACCCAUUAUCUUCCAUUGUUCUAUAGCCGCUCAUGAGUAGAGCCCAUCCCAUUUUGUUCCAUAGCCGCUCGUGAGGGUGUGGUGAUUUUUCUGCAUCUCCGCUCACGAGAUGAGCAGCAAUACAUUUUCUUUUCUUUUUUCUUUUCCUUUUUAAUAAAAUGUAACUUUUAACCGUGACGAAUUUUUUUCCGUAAAACUAAUUAUGUGUUAUUUGACUCAAUUAGGAUUUAAGGUUUAAUGUUUUACAUGAAAUCCUAAUUUCCAAACCAUCACAGUAUAGCCCUUUAACUCUAAUUUUAAAAUCAAAAUUCUUUAAUCAUAUUACUAAAACUCUAUUACUAAAAUCUUAUUAUAAACCAGAAUUAUCAAAAAAUUUAAUAUAUGAUAUUGAAAUAAAGUUAAUUUUAUAAAUUUAGAUGAUAAUCUAGAAAUUCGCCUUUUUCCCUGGCGAAUUUCUAAGAAUAUUGCUAAAAUAAAAAUCUAUCAUAAAAUUGGUGUUUUUUUAGAGUUAUUUCUGAUAUUAGGGUCAUCGCAAUAAUGGUGAAUUUCUAAGAAUAUUGCUAAAAUAAAAAUCUAUCAUAAAAUUGGUAUUCUUUGAGAGUUAUUUCUGAUAUUAGGGUCGCCGCAAUUAGGAUAUUAAAAUUUAUAAAUUUAUAAAAUUACAUUAUUCUUGAUUAUCAUCUAAAUUUAUAAAAUUAACAUUAUUCUAAUAUCAUAUAUAUUAAAUUUUUUAUAAUUCUGGUUUAUAAUAGGAUUUUAGUAAUAGAGUUUUAGUAAUACGAUUUAAGAAUUUUGAUUUUAAAAUUAGGGUUACAGGGUUAUACUCUGAUGGUUUGGAAAAUAGGAUUUCAUGUAAAACGUUAAACUAAUUGAGCCAAGUAACAUAUAAUUCGUUUUACGGAAAAAAAUCGUUGCAGUUAAAAGUUAUAUUUUAUUAAAAAGGAGAAAAAAGAAAAAGAAUGGCGAUGCAUAAACAACAAUAAAACCUCAUAGGACAAAAUGGGUCCUAUUCCUUCGCCGCUCAUAAAUCUUUACAAAAAUUGAAAAAAAAAAUUAAAGCGACUCCAAAAUAAAUGAGAAUUAAAAGAAUUUUUAUGAGAAGCCUCACGUCGCAGAUGCGGCGACUCCUUAUUUAGCAACCCACCUCAAAUAACACCAAUUAUUGGACAAAUUUCAAUUUUAACGAUAUUCCAAGAAAUUCACCCCUAUCAGAGAUGCUGUCGAGUUGAAUCGAUGUCGAGUGAUACCAUACUCGAACUCAAACUCGGAUGUUAUGAGCAUUACUUGAGUUCAAGUUCGAGUUCAACCAAGUCCCAAAUUUUAGACUCGAACUGCACUCAAUAUAGUUGAAAACAACUUGAGCUCAAAUUCAUAUAAGAUUUGAAUUUAAAUAUCCAAGUUAAGCUCAAAAAAUGAGCUCAAAAACCUUUGUUUCCUAGACCAGAAUAUUCAGCAAAAAUUGAGUGCAAAAAAUCUGUGCUUUCCUUAAACAAAAUAGCAACUCAUAUUAAAACAUGCAGUUUUCUUCAUUUCAACAAAAAUUCCAACCGUGUGAUUCAAGCACUUUAAAAUCCACAGUACCAAACUAUUUAAUAUGACAGUUUCUCAAUAGCCAAAAUAGGCAUGUUAAUAAAAGAAAUAGAGAACUUGAUAUUAAUAGAAUUUAGUCAUAGCACACUAAUUUGAGAUCAAGUUCUCUAUACAACAUUCUAUUAAGAUCCAUUGUCAAGAUUCUAUACAACAAUUCAUGUACAGAUUUAGUCAAAAGCCAAAACACAACUUGGUAGCUGCUAUAUAACAUGCACUUGAGUCGAAAAAAAAAAAAUCACCCGAUUCACUACAGCUGUCCUGAUUUUGCAUAGAAGUUGCUUUGUCAAAAUUGGGAUCUAUGCUAGUAAUUUUUUCUGUCAAUAAGCAGAAACACACACACCCAAUUAGAUUAGAAACACUCGAAAGUUAGCAACUAAACAAUCCAUGAAGAGUAAUCUAAGGGGAACCCACAAGAAACCUAGUAAUUGGGUGUGUGUAUGUAAUUGAGAGAUCUAUGCUAGUAAUUGGGAGUGUUUUUCAAAAACUAGUUUUUCAAAUGCAAUAAAAAUUUUUAAAAAAUACUCUAAAAGAUAAUCUAAAAAUUAAUUUAACUUUUUUAAAAAUUUUAAAAAAUAUCUCAAAAUAUAUUAAAAAAACUCUUCUACUCUUAAAUAUUCCAAAAUAUUUUUUGAAAAUAUUCCAAAAUAUAAUUUAAAAAUUCUGCUAUAGCAAAAUUUUUCAAAAAUAACUUCAAAAAUAGCUAAUCCAAACGGAGUAUAUUUCUUCGGCGGUCCCAUAUCUUGCAGAAGCAUGUGUUUGUAUUUGUUUGGAGAAAGGUGAUUCGCUGGGACAUACGAUCCAGAGGACAGUUCUGUUGGAUCACGUAAGUUCAUUGACUUGACUUCAAUGCUUCUUCAACAAACCCAAAAAUGAUUACCAGAAGCCCGUGACAAGGGUAAGCCUAAAAUGACUGGACUAGCGCCUGAUUGGGUGUGUGUGUCAUGGAUAGUGAGAAUGAUGUUUAGCCUAAAAUCAUGGACUUCCCUUAUUCUUUUCUCUAUUUAUUCCUUUCCUUAUUCCUUAUUCCUUUCUCUAUUUGUGGAAUCUAGCCCACAACUUUUCCAAUUAAUGCCGUUCGAUCCAAGAAUCCUUUGGGCAAAGCAAGUCCACGAUUUUCAAAAUCCCCUGCAAAUUCUUCAUUUUUUGCUGGGGCUGCCUAAGAACCCAAAGAAAUUGGUAGCCACUUUUUCAAGGCCUACUGCUUUUUCUUUCACUUGAUCCAGCACAAAACUUCCCAUACUACCAAAACAGAAGAAAACAACUGAUUUUUCAGGCUGGAUAUCCAGCCAUUCCAUCAUUUCUGAAUGGUCAUUAGUGGAUUGAGUUUGGAUUUGGGACGUAUUGAAAACUGGACCAAUAGGGAAAAUUGAUGGCAAUCUUGACGUAUAUGAAGACACAAAUACAUUAUGUCCUCAAAAAAUAUUAAAUAACAAAAGUCUUGCGUAUUUGGUAAGAAAAAUAACAAAAGACGCAAUUACAAUAUGAAGUGUAUGAUAAGAUGAGGUGAGAGUACUACUUCUUGUUCACCUGGUUUAACCAACUGCUUUAUGAGUAAUUGGCUACAAAAAAAACUUUAAGGCUUUACUUAGAUAUAGGUCAUGAGAUCAAAUCUCUUGGCCUGCAUUCUAAAAAAUCCUAGCCACUAAUAGAGUUUUAAAACUCUAUUUGGGUGUAGGAUGCAUUCUAAAAGUCUAGACGUUUUUAGAAAUUUCGCUAGCGAGUGCGUCAGCAUCUGUUUGUGUAAGUGAUGAUUCAAUUCUCUCCGAAUUUUUCUUGGACCUCUCUAGGUUCCCCAUUCUCCUAGUAUAAAGUAGGUAUAGUUCUAAAGUAGAUUCUAUCGUGUCCAGGAAAAAGAAGAAGAAGAAGAAGAGAGAGUACUACUUCUUGUUCACCUAGUUUUUUUUCCCUCUGCAUUGUCUAUCUAAUAAAUCUCACACCCUUACUUUAGGGUAAAAUAAAUAUCUCAAAGUAUAUUCCCACGUUAUUUAGCAAUACUGUCAUAUAAAUAGCAAAUUUUUUUUGCAUGUAGAGAGAAAGGAUAGAUUGUUGUAAUAGUAAAAAAAGGAGAGAGAGAGAGAGAGAGAGAGAGAGGAGCUAACAACUACCUAUUCAAUGAACGCGCAAUGGAUCUUCUGUUCCACACCCUGUGCCACUCACUGUCCCACUUUUCAUUAUAUUACUAUUUUUCUUUCAUAAACAUCAUAUUUUAGUUCUUUUUUGUUUCAUAAAGAUUCAAUAACUAUUAAUUCAGUAAAAACUAAAUACAACAGUUUCAAAAAAGUAAUUUAUAAUAUAAAAUUAAAAAUACAAUAGAAAAUUCAUAAAAAAUCUCAUUUUUUAUGCAUUUUGAUUUUUGAGUUUGCUAAAUUUUGUGUAUUGAUAGGUUACAAUUUUGUCAUUUAUUUUAUAAUUAAUUCUUUCAUAUUAUCUUACUAAAUGUGCAUUAAUUAGUGGAAUCUACUCACUUUUGGAAAUUUGUAUUUAUUGCAGGGAGUGGAACAAAAUACCAUAAAAAUGUGCCAAUUUGAUGGUAGUCAGCAGAAGAUUUUGAGCAGCAGUUAACAAGAUGGAGACUAAUUCGAUUAUGUUUCCUUAUUUAGUAGAAAAUAUGGAGAGCAGAUCUUCUGUCCAAUAUUUUAUGUCCAAUUUCCUGUCCAAUGUAAAACUACGUAGCUUUACUUAUUAUAUCUGCUGAUGUUGCAACUUAAAAUUGGUGGCUGUUUGACUGCCUUAUACUUCUUUUUUUUCAUCUUUUUUGGAUUUUCUUUGUUUACACAAUUUUGUUACAAUUUUCAUCUUUUUUAAAUAUUCUUUUGUAUUUGUUGUGUAAACAAAUAUAAAGUUGUGUAAAUAAAAAAAACCCAAAAAACAAGAAAGAAAAAGAAGUAUAAGGCAGCCAAACAACCACCUAUUUUUAGUUGCUACAUCAGUAGAUAUAAUAAGUGAAACUACGUAGUUUCACAUUAGACAGGAAAUUAGACACAAAAUAUUGGAUAGAGGAUCUGCUCUCGAAAAGAUGCGACAGACUGGGAGAAAAAUAAGGACGCUUCCUUUUUCUUUGUUUUGGUAGUUUCCAAAGGACAAGGAAGUCAACAAGGACAAGGACUCUUUUCCCGUGCUUUCUUGGUAGCCAUAUAGGAGUAGACAAAAGGAGAUAUAGAGGAAUUAGAUAGGAGAAUAGCAAACCACUUUUUAUGACUUUUUAGUUUUUGAAUUUUUCGUCUUAUUUGAUUGUUCUUUCAAUUGUUCCAUCGGAUUGAUCAUCUCAAUUGAGAGACGAUGUAUGCAACAAUUAAUUCUGCAAUUGUGUGUGGAUUUUCUUCAACGGAAAUGAACUAAAUCUCUUUUUCUAGUCAAGGGACAACGGAGGCUCUGAUUCAUCUAAAAUUUGUGAGAUCGAAUUAAUUUUAUUUAUUUUUCUUAUUUACUGGUAUUUGCAUAUUUUCUGUUGGUAGUGUUUAUGGUUAUUUCGUUAAUUGAAUAUUCUGGACCCGGACGUUGAAUUAAUUUAGCAACCUAAUGUCAAUUGUAGCGUUAAAUCCAUAAUUGUUUAAUUACUCUAAAAUAGUGACGACUGACAUGAUUGGAUUUGUGUCAGGCAAAUAUGCAGACUAAUCUAAAAUAACUCUGAUAGAGUAUUAUUUGAUUAGAAUAGGACUCUUCUAAUACGUAAGGCAAUUGGAAAAAUAAAUCUUACGGGCGUAUCUAGAAUUAUUUCUCAAUUAAAGUAGUGAUCAACGAGCGUAUCUUAGUUAUCGACACAGUAAGGAGGAGUUAACUGUCAUCGCUUGUUUGAUAGUUAUAACCUGUUUAUUAGUUAAAAAUUGGAACAACCUUUGUAUCAAGAAUCAAUUAGGUGAACCAUUGCCAAAAUUAUUUCUUGACUAGAGCUUAGUUAUUAUUAAUUUGAUUUUAAUAAUUUGCUCUUUAAAUUUUAGUUGGAUAUUUACUUUUAUUCGAACAGUUUAAUUAUUACCAUUGCUAUAAAAAAAAUCCCCAUUAUUAGUUUGAACUUCAAAAGAUACAAAUAUGCCAAAUCCCUGUGGUUUUGACCCUACUUAUCACUAUCUGCAGAAAUUACAUUUUAUUUGAAUAGAUAUUUAUUAUUGCACAGGUUCAAUAAUCUGUCAAUUUUUUGCGUCAUUGCCGGGAACUGGCAUUAGUUAAUUUGUUUGUUUUUAAGUUCAUUUUCGUUUUAAUUUUCUGGUAUUUUUCUAGUUUAUGCCUCGGUUUUCUCAUAUAGACGAAUUGAUUUUUGACCCCGAAAUAGAGAAGACCGCGCCCCGAACAAAAAAAAAGACCAAACAACUCAGAGAAAAGCAAUCUGGUACUGCAUCUCAGAGAUCUGAUCCAAAAGUUGAAUCAAUAAGUUCGCUUGGCGAUACUUCGAAUGAACCGGAUUGAGGGGAAGUCACUAUGGCUAAUGCACAGACAUUAAGGGAGUUGGCUGCACCUAAUUUAAAUCAGCAGUUCUUAUGCACCACUUUUUCGAAUUUAAAUGAUAACACCCCGUUUGAGUUAAAAUCUAGCCUAAUUUAUAUUUUACCAUCUUUUCAUGGUUUAUCAGGUGAGAAGUCUUAUAAACAAUUGUAAGAGGUCGAUGUUGUUUGCAACAGUAUAAAUUCCCAGGAAAUUACGGAAGAACAGAUAAAAAUGCGGGCAUUCCUUUUCUCUCUUAAAAACUCAGCAAAAGAUUUACUGUACUACCUACUCCCAGGUAGUAUCACCACUUGGGAUCAAUUGAAGAAAAAAUUCUUGAAAAAAUAUUUUUCUGCAUCUCAAGUUGCAAGUCUGAGGAAGGAGGUAUGUGGUAUCAAAUAACAUCUAGGAGAGUCGCUCUAUGAUUAUUAGGAGAGAUUCAAAAAAUUACGCAUCAAAUGCCCUCAACACCAAAUAAGCGAGCAAUUGCUCAUCCAGUAUUUCUAUGAGGGGCUACUCUUCAGAGACAGGAGUAUUAUUGAUGCUGCAAGUGGUGGGGCGUUGGUGAACAAAAUCCCUCGAGAAGCAUGGGAGUUAAUUGAAGAGAUAGCCGAAAAUUCGCAGUAGUUCGAUACAAGGGAGGAUGGCCCAAUACGUAGAGUGAAUGAGAUAGAAUCAUCAUCUAUCAAACAACAGUUAUCUGAGUUAACAUCUUUUGUCAGGCAAUUAACUGUAGAAAUUGCUCCACAAGUCAAGGUGUGUGGUAUUUGUACUAUCAUGGAUCAUUCUACAGAUAUGUGCCCGAUGAUUCAAAUAGAGAAUGCGAAACAAGUAAACAUGGUUGGUCACGCGUCCACGCCAAAAAAGCCAUAUGACCCAUAUUCAAACACGUAUAAUCCGGACUGAAGAGAUUAUCCUAAUCUCAACUAUGGUGGAAACAGGCAAUCGAAUUUUGUGCCGAAUAUAUCGUAAGGGUAUAAACAUCAAUAUCAACCUUGACCACCACUCCUCCAAGUUCAAGUCCGUCUUUAGAAGAGAUGAUGAAGCAGUUAAUUGCUAGCAACGCGCAAUUUCAACAAAAGACGGACUCUGAUUUACAGAAUCUAAGGAAUCAAAAAGGACAGAUGUAAGCAAUGUAGAGUUAGAUAAAUCAGAUGACAAUAUCAAUCAACUGUCUGGAGUUUCAAGUUCAUAAAAAAUUGCCCUUUCAACCUGAACUGAACCCAAAGAACGUAAGUGUAAUGACCUCAAGGACCAGGAAAUAAAUUCAGGCACCCAAACUCUUGAUUUCAAAGGACAAGAAUGAAGAAAAAAUCGAGAAAGAACUUGAGAAAAAGGACAGAAAUAGAAAAAAUCCAAUGGUACAUCCUGACCCAAUCAUUAAAGUUAAAACUAACCCGCCUCUUUUUCCUAGUAGAUUGGAAAGAUCGAUGAAAUAGGACAAGGAGAAAGAGAUUUUGGAGAUCUUCCAUAAGGUAGAGAUCAACAUUCCCCUAUUAGAUGCAAUCAAGUAAGUGCCAAAGUACGCGAAAUUUUUGAAAAACUUGUGUGUCAACCGAGGAAGGCUGAAAGGGGACGAAAGAAUUAUUGUAGGGAAGAACGUGCCAGCUGUUCUACAGAUGAAACUUCCACCGAAAUGCGGGGAUCCAGGUAUGUUUACUAUCCCUUGUAGGAUAAGUAAUACUCUGAUUAGAAAUACCAUGUUGGACUUAGGAGUAUCAAUCAAUAUAAUGACUAAAUCUAUUUAUGCUUCUUUGAACCUAGAUCCGUUAAAAGAAAUGGAGAUAAUAAUCCAAUUAGCUGACCGAACGAAUGUCUAUCCUGAUGGGUUGGUUAAAAUUAAUGAAUUAGUAUUCCCAACUGAUUUUUAUGUACCUGACAUGGAUGAUAAUCAUUCUCCCGACCCUCACCUUUGUUGUUAGGUAGACUCUUCUUGAGUACUAUCGAGACUAAGAUUGAUGUUAGUAAGGGUACUCUCGCAAUGAAAUUUGAUGGAGAGAUAACGUACUUUAACAUUUUUAAUACAAUGAAAUAUCCUGUUAACUCAUUCUGUAUUUGCCAUUCAUGCUACUAAUCUCUCUGUGCAAGAACAUUCUAUGUUUGCCAUUCAUACUACUAAUCCCUCUGUGCAAGAUUUUUUGAAUUUGAUUGUAAGGGUAAAUUUAAAGUUGUCGUGAACCAGUAUCAUGGGAUGAAAGCACUUUAUGAGGUGAAAAUAAGUAGAAAAUUAAAGAAGAUGGUUACACUCAAUGACUAUUUGGAUCCCGAAGGAAUGUCACUGAAUGCGAGAAAAUCUGAAUUACGUCUAGAUUGAGGAGUGAUAUUUCAUGUCGAGCCAAACACGUUAAAGAAAGAUGCUUAUUGGACGGCAACCUAAUUUCUUUUAGCUGUUUAUUUAGUUUUAGUUGGUCGCUUCAAUGUGUUUUCUUAAGGUUUAUCUAAAUUUUUGGUUUAAUUUUUCGUUUUUGAUGAUUCAUAGGUGUCCCUCUGACAUGACGCGCCAACAUCAAUAGGGCACGUGAUAAUGUGCAACGCCCAAGACUUUCAUCAAAAGGGUUUUCACCCUCAUGACGCGCCUGUGUCGGUUGCUUGGAGAACUCUUCCCUUGAUCCUGGAGCGGAUUGACCGACUUGGCGCGCUCACGUCAAUAAGGCGCGUGGUAACUUUUAAUUCAACAAGUCUCCAUCAGAAGGGUUUCCACCCUCAUGACGUGCCCGUGUCACCUGAGCACGUGGUAAUAUGCAAUUGUCAAAGUUUUCAUCAGAAGGAUUUCCACCCUUAUGACGCGCCCGCAUCAAUCAGGCACGUGGUAACUUUGAACUCAACGGACAUUCAUCAGAAGGUUUCUUGCCUCCUUGACGUGCCCAAGUCAUAUUCGAGGGAAAGGUAUAUAAUUUUAAAAAAAAUAGAAACUUUUUUUUCUUUUUCUUUCUUUCUUCCUUUCCUUUCCUUCUCCCCUAUUUCCCAUGGUUCUCUCUCGACCGAAACCUACGGAGCACCGCCUAUCUCUUCGUGCCGCCACUUUCUCAUUUACUCAAGUUUUUUCUCUCGCUAACCAUACCUGCCACCACCAAGUCUGCCGUCGUCUUCCCUACCGCAACUCCCCAUGUCGUCACUGUUUUCAUCGACCCACGCCCAUUUGUCGCUGCCUUCCACAUCGCAUACCGCCAUUCGCCGCUCCCCUCACGUGCCUCUCUCAUUGCAUGCCACCAUGUCUCUCUCUCUCUCUCUCUCUCGCGAAGUCCUAUGCACACCACUAACGCAUCCCCGCCACUCUAAUUCUCCUAUUGUCAAGUGAUCAACACUUUGUGACUAUCAAAGAUUGAUGAUGGUUGAUUAACUCUAAUUCUUCUAUUGUCGAGUUUUAGAUAUAAAAGUGUAUCAAAUUAAUUUGGUUGAUUUGUGAAUAUUGAUGAUUUUGUGAUUCUUAUAAUUUUUGGUUAACUUUUCUAGGCAUAGGAAAUAACUGCUUGACAUUUUCAUCUGAACUAGUCCAAUUAUUAACUUUAGUUCUCCAUGUUUGAAGAAAUGAGGCUAGUUGCUGCUAUUUUAUAUGAUAUUCGUUGCUUGACUGUGAAUAAAAAUUUGUUGUACUCUGCUAGUUAUUACUACUGAAUAACCGGGGAUCUUCACCAAUAAUGUCUAUUCUCGCAUCAAAAAGUAGUAAUUUUUAUAAGUACGUGGUCGUAUAGCGAUAGCAGUUGAGUAACUGGGUUUUUUCAUCUAAUAAAUAUUGGAGUUCGAGUCAAAAGACCUUAAUGGCUAGAGACUAAAUCCAUUAUUAUCACUAUUGAAAAUAGAAAAAAAAAAGAAAAAAAGAAAAAAAGAAAAAGGAAAGCGUGAUAAAAAGGUGUGUUACGUGACUAAAGUCAGCUUACCGAUUUUUAGAUUUAAUGUUGAGAUUUUGAUUAGUAGUUGAACCAUUUACUGAUAAAUAUUGAUCAACCAUUCCUUUCUCUUCGAAUAGUUAGUCAUAAAUUGGAAGAGUCUGCAGCUUAGAAGUUAACUGAGAUGAUAUUUCUUAGAUUUUGACCAUUGAUACUUGAUAUGUAUUUUUCUUGGUAUCUUGCCAAUAAGGUAGAUGGAGUAAUAACCAUUGUCAAAAAUUGGUGUUUGUUUGUUGUUCGUAUACUUGAGUACAAAUAUGAUUUAAGUAUGGGGGAAAUUGAUAGGUUAUAAUUUUGUCAUUUAUUUUAUAAUUAAUUUUCUCAUAUUAUCUUACCAAAUAUACAUUAAUUGGCGAAUUCUACUCACUUUUGAGAAUUUGUAUUUAUUGCAGAAAGUGGAAUAAAAUACCAUAAAAAGGUGUCAAUUUGACGGUAGUUAGCAGAAGAGUUUGAGUAACAGUCAACAAGAUGGAGACUAAUUCGAUUAUGUUUCCUUAUCUAGUAGAAAAUAUGCGGCAGACUGGGAGAAAAAUUAGGACACUUCAUUUUUCUUUGUUUUGGUAGUUUCCAAAGGAAAAGGAAGUCAACAAGGACUAGGACUCUUUUCCUAUGCUUUCUUGGUAGCCAAAUAGGAGUAGACAAAGGAGAUAUAGAGGAAUUAGAUAGGAGAAUAGCAUACCACUUUUUAUGACUUUUUAGCUUUUGAAUUUUUCGUCUUAUUUGAUUGUUAUUUCAAUUGUUCCCUCAGGUUGAGCAUUUCAAUUGAGAGACGAUGUAUGCAACAAUUAAUUCUGCAAUUGUGUGUGGGUUUUCCUCAACGGAGAUGAACUAAAUCUCUUUUUCUAGUCAAAGGACAACGGAGGCUCUGAUUCAUCUAAAAAUUGUGAGAUCGAAUUAAUUUUAUUUAUUUUUCUUAUUUACUGGUAUUUGCAUAUUCCCUGUUGGUAGUAUUUAUGGUUGUUUUGUUAAUUGAAUAUCUUGGGUCCGGACGUGGAAUUAAUUUAGCAAUCUAAUGUCAAUUGGAGCGUUAAAUCCGUAAUUAUUUAAUUGCUCUAAAAUAGUGACAGCUGACAUGAUUGAAUUUGUAUCAGGUGAAUACGGAAGCUAAUCUCAAAUAACCCUGGUAGUGUGUUAUUUGAUUAGAAUAGGACUCCUCUAAUACAUAAGGCAAUUGGAGAAGUAAAUCUUACGAGCGUACCUAAGAUUAUUUUUCGAUUAGAGUAGUGAUUAACGGACGUAUCUUAGUCAUCGAUACGGUAAGGAGGAGUUUACUGUCAUCGCUUGUUUGACAGUUAUAACCUAUUUAUUAGUUAAUAAUUGGAACUACCUUUGCAUCGAGGAUCAAUUAGGUGAACCAUUGUCGAAAUUAUUUCUUGACUAGAGCUUAGUUAUUAUUAAUUUGAUUUUAAUAAUUUAUUCUUUAAUUUUUAGUUGGCUAUUUACUUUUAUUCGAACAGUUUAAUUAUUACCAUUGCUAUAACAAACUCCAUUGUUAGUUUGAAUUUCAAAAGAGACAAAUAUUCCCAAUCCCUGUGGAUUCGACUCUACUUAUCACUAUUUACAGAAAUUACAUUUUGUUUGAGCAGAUAUUUAUUAUUGCAUAGGCUCGACAACCUGUCAAUUAAUAGUUAUUGAAUUUUAAGAAAAUAAAAAAAACUAAAACAUGAUGUUUAUGAAGGAGAAAUAACAAUAUAAUAAAAAGUAGGACAGUGAGUGGCACAGAGUGUAGGACAGAAGAUCCGUUGCGGAAUGAACGAGGCGAGGCAAUCCGAAGUAGUCUGCCUAUCCGUAUUCAAAUCAACUCGACUAGCAAUUAGCUCCAACAGGACAACACCAAAACUAUAUAUAUCACACUUGAACGUAAGCUUCCCGAAUUCAGAUAUUCUGGUGCACAGUAGUCUUGGGAUCCCAAGACUCUCUUGUGGUAACGUGGGAUUUAUCCAGGACUUUAGGAGGCCCGCAUCUGGCAAGUCCGAAGUCUCCAAGCUUAGCUUGUAACUGGUUGUCCAACAAGAUGUUUGAAGAUUUGAUGUCGCGAUGGAUGACGGGUGGGCAGGCGCUGCAAUAGAGAUUGUGGAGGCCUUUGGCAACUCCUAAAGCAAUGUUGACCCUUGUUUUCCAAUCCAGGGGCUGUUUUUUACCAAUUCCUUCAAGAUGAUCGGCCAGACUUCCCCUAGGCACGAAUUCAUACACCAAGAACUUCUCAUCCAUAUAAUUUUACCAAAUUCGGAUGCCUUAAUAUUUGUAAAAUCUCUACCUCGUUCUUGAAUUCUUGUUCUCUUUGUAUCGAUCCGUCUUGGUGAAACAGGAAUUUAAUUGCAGCAAUCUGAUGGAGAUCAAUCAAUCCAUUCAAUUCAGUGGAAACAAAUUUUAAGUACUAAUAUCAAUUCAAAUUUAUUCAAAUACUAGGAGUACUGAUUUUUACUAGAAAUAGAACUAGUAGUAAGUAGUAACAGGAUAGAACAAAUAGUUCUACUUAUUUGCUGAUUGGUUGACUCAUCAAAACAAACAAGAAGCAUAGAGCAAACGUGCUCUUUCCCUACUAUGAGUAAUGCAUCAAACAAAAUGCCCUGAAGUUACAUGUUUCAUACUUUAUUUCAUUGAUCAUUUGAUUCUUGAAAUCUUCGUAAGUUAAGUAAGUGACACGAAGAAUUUUUUUACUACUAGUAAAUUAGUUGAACGUGGGACAAGAAAAAUUGAUGUGAAAGUCAAUUUGCAUCAAUUAAUUCAUGAAGAAAUAUGCCAAAUCUUACUUGGCCAGAUUCGAGGGUUCCUUUGUAAACCACUCCGCAGCCUCCCAUACCAAUCACAUUUUCAACUGAGAGCCGGUGGCAGUUUUAAGCUUAGACACAGUAAAUUUACCUAUAACAGUACUUUGUAAGAACAUUGAUGUAAUAAAGAUUUAGGUUUGAGGUCGAUCGUUCAAAGAACAAAAUAUAAAAAAAAAAUGGAAUUAAUGGCAAAAUUAAGCAGUAAUAGUAGUUACCGCUGGUUACUUGAUCUUCAAUUUGAUUACCCUCAAUCAUCUUGAUGCCGUUGGGCUCAUUUCUGAAUAGGCAAGAACAACAGCCCAUUGCGUAUAUAAGCAACUGUAUAUCUCAGUGUUGCAAAGUGGAAAUUGUGUUAGUAUGAGAAGCAUGAGAAUCAUUGAAUAUAAGGAACUGCAUGUGUAUCUGGUACUUCAAUUAUUAAGUUAUUGAAUUGUUAAAUACUAAAUUUAACAAAUUUGGGUAUAUAUCACAUUAUUUGACACAAAAAAAGGAGUGUAUAUAGGAGUAGGCAUAGGUUGUCAUUUGACCAAAAAAAAAAUGAAGAAGACCUAAGAGAGUAAUAAUGGCACCCAAUGCUUUUGAUGAUAUUCUCCAAUGACAAAUAAGAAGAUCCACCUUCCUGCAACGCUAACCUACGUUUCUCACUGAUAACUCUUCAACCCUUUUCCUCACUUCACUUUCACCAUCCAUGAGUUCCCUUAUCCCUUUCUCUACUUGCUCAGCUCUUAGUAUCUCUUGAUUCUUCUUUUCUUCAAAAUAAUCUAAGCAAAUUUCCACUGCAGUUCCCAACUCUUUCACCACCUGAAAAGCAUUCAGCUGUUGCUCCGCGUGCCGCUUGCAACGGCCAUGUAGCCAUUGGCACGCCACACCAUACACUCUCCAACGUUGAAUUCCAACCACAAUGCGACACAAAACCGCCCACAGCCGGGGUGCGACAACACGGCUAAUGUUUUAAAUUUUGUUGUUAUACUUCUUAUAAUGUUUAAGGUACACUGGCAUAAAUUAUUGUAUUUCUCGUGACAUCUGAACUAGUAGAAUAAUUUUCUCGAAAUUCUGCGAAAAGCUAACCAAGUCCCGCAAAAUUAUGAUGAAAGAAUCGUCAAUAUCGAUGUUUUACAAUUUACACCUGUGAACGUCAUUUUUUCUAUCUUGGCUAUCUUGGCAGCCACCUUUUGAACUUCUUUACAAAUAUUUUUCCAAGUCGAUCCAAUGCCAAAUCAAGUAGUACUACUAAUGCUCAGGUUUUCAAAUGCAUUAUAUCACUUAUGUCUUUUUUUUUUUUAUUUUAAAAAAAGUUUUCGUAAUCUGCUGUAUUUUGAAGUUGUUAGAGUGAUCAAGCUCAGAAGAAGCCAUGCAAAUAGCUAUGCCAUUGGAGAAGACAAAGGAAGCUGGCUGGAGGAAGAUUUGGGGCUAUCUGAGUGAAGUGUGGGUUGAAAAGAUUAAAUCAAGACACUCUCAAUAGCUCUCUAGCCACUCUACUGCAAGAUAUUUGCAGCCUACAAAUCUCAUUUUAUUGAAUUCUUAGUAAUGGUCAGAAAUUGGAAAGAAAUGUUGAUUAUUUAGCGAGAUCAGUUUAACAAGAUAAAGGCUGUUUUUUCACUGUUUUAUUCAACUGCAACAUAUUCAAAAGUCUGUGGGGGCAGAAUGUAUCAAUGAUUCUUAACAAGAUUAGCUUAACAAGAGUAGGACAGUGCCUUGUUCUCAAAACCUCAAGGUUUUUUGAGAUUCACCUAACAGAUAAAGUUUUUUUUUUUUUUUUUUCAACUGUUUCAUUCAACUGCAACACAUUCGAAAGACUGUGGAGCAGAAUGUAUCAAUGAUUACACAUUUGCACUUGUCUUAUAUUUAGAUAAAUUGAACCUUGUUCAUAUAGUAAUCUCCAUUAACAACAGUUUUCAUAGCACCAAUUAAGCUGAAGACCUUGAACAAAUGUCUUGAAUAAGAUUCCCCAAAGCGAAAUAAGAUGAUCCACCUUCCUUUGUAGCUAGUCUGCUUUUCUCGCUGAAUUCUUUAACCCUUAUCCUUACUUCAUUCUCAACAUCCAUGAUUUCCCUUAUGCCUUUC